rnacentral:rRNA from 1 species
CCUACGGGAGGCAGCAGUGAGGAAUAUUGGUCAAUGGACGAGAGUCUGAACCAGCCAAGUAGCGUGAAGGAUGACUGCCCUAUGGGUUGUAAACUUCUUUUAUAAAGGAAUAAAACGAGGCACGUGUGCCUUUUUGCAUGUACUUUAUGAAUAAGGAUCGGCUAACUCCGUGCCAGCAGCCGCGGUAAUACGGAGGAUCCGAGCGUUAUCCGGAUUUAUUGGGUUUAAAGGGUGCGUAGAUGGGUUGUUAAGUCAGUGGUGAAAGUUUGCGGCUCAACCGUAAAAUUGCAAUUGAUACUGGCAGUCGUGAGUACAGUUGAGGUAGGCGGAAUGCGUGGUGUAGCGGUGAAAUGCUUAGAUAUCACGAAGAACCCCGAUUGCGAAGGCAGCUUACUAAACUGUGACUGACAUUGAUGCUCGAAAGUGUGGGUAUCAAACAGGAUUAGAUACCCCAGUAGUC